GACGGGGGAUGCAAGAGUUAUCCGGACUCGCUGGGCGUAAAGCGUCUGUAGGUGGUGAUGCAAGUCACUGGUGCAAAACUCUGGCUCAACCGGAGGAAAGCCAGUGAAACUGCAUGACUAGAGUGUGGGAGAGGGAGAAGGAAUUCCCUGAGUAGCGGUGAAAUGCGUAGAUACAGGGAAGAACACCGGAGGCGAAAGCGUUCUACUGGAACACAACUGACCCUGAGAGACGAAAGGUCGGGCAGUGAAGGGG
rnacentral:rRNA from 1 species